CCGUUGGCUUUUGGUUCAGUGGUAGAAUGCUUGCCUGCCACGCGGGCGCCCCGGGUUCGAUUCCUGGCCGAUGCA
rnacentral:tRNA from 1 species